AUUGAACGCUGGCGGCAGGCUUAACACAUGCAAGUCGAACGAUGACUCUCUAGCUUGCUAGAGAAGAUUAGUGGCGGACGGGUGAGUAACAUUUAGGAAUCUGCCUAGUAGUGGGGGAUAGCUCGGGGAAACUCGAAUUAAUACCGCAUACGACCUACGGGUGAAAGGGGGCGCAAGCUCUUGCUAUUAGAUGAGCCUAAAUCAGAUUAGCUAGUUGGUGGGGUAAAGGCCCACCAAGGCGACGAUCUGUAACUGGUCUGAGAGGAUGAUCAGUCACACCGGAACUGAGACACGGUCCGGACUCCUACGGGAGGCAGCAGUGGGGAAUAUUGGACAAUGGGGGCAACCCUGAUCCAGCCAUGCCGCGUGUGUGAAGAAGGCCUUUUGGUUGUAAAGCACUUUAAGCAGGGAGGAGAGGCUAAUGGUUAAUACCCAUUAGAUUAGACGUUACCUGCAGAAUAAGCACCGGCUAACUCUGUGCCAGCAGCCGCGGUAAUACAGAGGGUGCGAGCGUUAAUCGGAAUUACUGGGCGUAAAGCGAGUGUAGGUGGCUCAUUAAGUCACAUGUGAAAUCCCCGGGCUUAACCUGGGAACUGCAUGUGAUACUGGUGGUGCUAGAAUAUGUGAGAGGGAAGUAGAAUUCCAGGUGUAGCGGUGAAAUGCGUAGAGAUCUGGAGGAAUACCGAUGGCGAAGGCAGCUUCCUGGCAUAAUAUUGACACUGAGAUUCGAAAGCGUGGGUAGCAAACAGGAUUAGAUACCCUGGUAGUCCACGCCGUAAACGAUGUCUACUAGCCGUUGGGGUCCUUGAGACUUUAGUGGCGCAGUUAACGCGAUAAGUAGACCGCCUGGGGAGUACGGCCGCAAGGUUAAAACUCAAAUGAAUUGACGGGGGCCCGCACAAGCGGUGGAGCAUGUGGUUUAAUUCGAUGCAACGCGAAGAACCUUACCUGGUCUUGACAUAGUGAGAAUCUUUCAGAGAUGAGAGAGUGCCUUCGGGAACUCACAUACAGGUGCUGCAUGGCUGUCGUCAGCUCGUGUCGUGAGAUGUUGGGUUAAGUCCCGCAACGAGCGCAACCCUUUUCCUUAUUUGCCGGCGGGUUAAGCCGGGAACUUUAAGGAUACUGCCAGUGACAAACUGGAGGAAGGCGGGGACGACGUCAAGUCAUCAUGGCCCUUACGACCAGGGCUACACACGUGCUACAAUGGUAGGUACAGAGGGUUGCUACACGGCGAUGUGAUGCUAAUCUCAAAAAGCCUAUCGUAGUCCGGAUUGGAGUCUGCAACUCGACUCCAUGAAGUCGGAAUCGCUAGUAAUCGCAGAUCAGAAUGCUGCGGUAAAUACGUUCCCGGGCCUUGUACACACCGCCCGUCACACCAUGGGAGUCUAUUGCACCAGAAGUAGGUAGCCUAACGCAAGGGGGCGCUUACCACGGUGUGGUCGAUGACUGGGGUGAAGUCGUAACAAGGUAGCCGUAGGGGAACC
rnacentral:rRNA from 1 species